rnacentral:tRNA from 1 species
UCCCUUGUAGCUCAGUUUGGUAGAGCGCCGCACUGUUAAUGCGGAUGUCACAUGUUCAAGUCAUGUCUGGGGAGCCA